AUGUCCGCUCCAGGUGCUGGGUGUGGGUCCUGGUAAGCGGAUGCACAAAAUGUCUCUUGUGGCAAACUUGUGGUGAUCAUAGCCGAAAUCUGACAGACCUCUAUACGCUCGCCACUCAUCAGUUAUAAUACUGGUUCCUCUUCUCACAUAGUGCCUCACAAUAGGUAGCAGCUGCUCACUUGACCUGCUGGAGACAAUUUUGCACACCUUUAGCACAGACAUGUUGCCAUGGAAACACAAUUGCUUACCUGUAGAUGAACUCGAAGUGCUUCGAAGAGAUAACCGGGAACGAAAAAACACAGACCCCUUCCAGACAGAAGCUGGAACAUCGGAACGAUGAUGCGCAUUCCUUGUGCAGCACCUGGCAGUAUUUAUUUGGACAACCAAAGCAACAAAGCUUAAGUGAAGUAGUUUACACUGAAUGCAUCUAACACUCUGCAACACAUUUCUACUGUCAGGUUUUAAAAACAACCAUCAAAAUCUCACCACUGACAUCCGUCUCCCUGGACCCGUUUGUGUCAUUUCAUUUUUUUGUUGCAUCUCAUUGCUCUGCGCAAAAUCUCUUUUUUCUGCAUCCAUCGCACAAUUUUGCAUCUAUUUUGAAGACCAUCCUUUCCCUGUAACAACCCAAGAAUUUUUUUUUGGAUUAAGGACAUCUUCCAAGCCUGCUGAGCUGUUCUGAAAUCGCUCUGUUCCCGCGUUUGACAUGAACGGAGGACCUGCAGUCACGUGAUACAGCAGCGCACUGUACAACGUCAUUUCAGGUGCGAAGACUGAAGGAGACCUUUUUGCUGCUACAAAGACAUGGAAACUCGUGGACGGAAGUCAAAGAAGCCUCCAACGAAACAUCUGAUGCAAA